rnacentral:rRNA from 1 species
AAUGAACGCUGGCGGCAGGCCUAACACAUGCAAGUCGAGCGAGCGGCGGACGGGUGAGUAAUGUCUGGGAAACUGCCAGAUGGCGGGGGAUAACUACUGGAAACGGUAGCUAAUACCGCAUACCAUCAGAUGUGCCCAGAUGGUAUUAGCUAGUAGGUGGGGUAAAGGCUCACCUAGGCGACGAUCCCUAGCUGGUCUGAGAGGAUGACCGGCCAAACUGGAACUGAGACACGGUCCAGACUCCUACGGGAGGCAGCAGUGGGGAAUAUUUCGCAAUGGGCGCAAGCCUGAUGCAGCCAUGCCGCGUGUGUGAAGAAGGCCUUCGGUUUGUAAAGCACUUUCAGCGGGGAGGCGUUACUCGCAGAAGAAGCACCGGCUAACUCCGUGCCAGCAGCCGCGGUAAUUC